GAGGACUACACGGGUAUCUAAUCCUGUUUGCUACCCAUGCUUUCGAGCCUCAGCGUCAGUUAGUGCCCAGUAGGCCGCCUUCGCCACUGGUGUUCCUCCCGAUAUCUACGCAUUCCACCGCUACACCGGGAAUUCCGCCUACCUCUACACCACUCAAGACUGACAGUUUUGAAAGCAAUUUAUGGGUUGAGCCCAUAGAUUUCACUCCCAACUUGCCAAUCCGCCUGCGCUCCCUUUACACCCAGUAAUUCCGGACAACGCUUGCACCCUACGUUUUACCGCGGCUGCUGGCAC
rnacentral:misc_RNA from 1 species